GUUGAAACAGCAGUUCACGUACGAUCACAGAAAUUAAGCAACGUCGAGCCUGGUCAGUACCUAGAUGGGUGACCGCUUGGGAAUACCAGAUGCUGUAA